UACGUAGGGGGCGAGCGUUGUCCGGAUUUACUGGGCGUAAAGCGCGUGUAGGCGGCCAGGUACGUCUGCUGUGAAAACUCGAGGCUCAACCUCGAGACGUCGGCGGAAACUAUCUGGCUAGAGUCCGGAAGAGGAGAGUGGAAUUCCUGGUGUAGCGGUGAAAUGCGCAGAUAUCAGGAAGAACACCCGUGGCGAAGGCGGCUCUCUGGGACGGUACUGACGCUGAGACGCGAAAGCGUGGGGAGCGAACAGG
rnacentral:rRNA from 1 species